ACGUAGGUGGCGAGCGUUGUCCGGAAUUACUGGGUGUAAAGGGUGCGUAGGCGGAUUUGCAAGUCAGGUGUGAAAACUAUCGGCUUAACCGGUAGCCUGCACUUGAAACUGUAAGUCUUGAGUGGGGAAGAGGUAAGCGGAAUUCCUAGUGUAGCAGUGAAAUGCGUAGAUAUGAGGAGGAACACCAGUGGCGAAGGCGGCUUACCGGGCCGGAUCUGACAGUGAGGAACGAAAGCUUGGGGAGCAUACAG
rnacentral:rRNA from 1 species